rnacentral:rRNA from 1 species
UACGAAGGGGGCGAGCGUUGUUCGGAUUUUACGUGGGCGUAAAGGCGCGUAGGCGGCCAUCAUUUGUCAGGCGUGAAAGCCCCCGGGCUCAACCUGGGAAUGGCGUCUGGGACGGGGUGGCUAGAGAUCGGGAGAGGAGCGGUGGAAUUCCCAGUGUAGAGGUGAAAUUCGAUAGAUAUUGGGAAGAACACCGGGUGGCGAAGGCGGCGCUCUGGAC